UGUCAUCAAACAAUGUUAAAGGGUAAGG
rnacentral:sRNA from 1 species